rnacentral:tRNA from 1 species
GGUGCCGUAGCCAAGUGGUAAGGCAGGGGUCUGCAAAACCCCCACUCGCGGGUUCGAUUCUCGCCGGCACCUCCA